rnacentral:lncRNA from 1 species
GGUGGCUCGCGCCUAUAAUCCCAUCACUUUGGGAGGCUGAGAUGGGCAGAUUACCUGAGGUCAGGGGUUCAAGAGCAGCCUGGUCAAAGUGGUGAAACCCCGUCUCUACUACAAAUAGAAAAAUUAGCCAGACGUGAUGGUGCAGGCCUGUAAUCCCAGCUACUGGGGAGGCUGAGAUAGAAGAAUUGCUGGAAUCUGGGAGGCAGAGGUUGCAACCUGGGGGGUGGAGUGAGCCAAGAUCAUGCCGCUGCACUCCAACCUGCGUGACAGAGUGAGAAUCUAUUUAAAAAAAAAAAAAAGAAAGAAAAGAGAAAAUAAGGGUGCUUUUGUGGUACAACUUAAGGAACAUCAAAAAGCAUCAAUACAUAUCCCUCGUUAGAUAUUAAUAAUGCCUAGAAGUCACAUUAUUUGAGUCUUUCCUCUUAUUUAAGAUAUUGACUUCCAAGAUCAUCAACAGGAAUGCAUGAGAAAUUAGUUUAUGUGACUAGCAUUGUUCACUAAACAGUGGACUAAAGAGAAGGGAAAAUAGAGAAUUUGUUUUUGUUUUUGUUUUGUUUUUGUUUUUUUUUAGGAGAAGGGAUUGGGAAGUUCUGACACAUGGUGUACUAUUGGCAUGAAAAAACCUAGAAUGGAGAAGUGGUCUGAGAAGUAAGGAAAAGCAUAAAGCAGAAUGGGACACUGAAAAGAAGAAAGAAAGAAUCGUGAAGCAAAAGCUGCUCAUUGUACUUUGGUUUAAAACCUACCUCUCCUAGAAGUUUUUGAUAGGACUCAGCUCAUCAAUCUUUGCAAUAGCCCCAAAGUGGAAGUUAAUAGUUGUGCAAAAGAAAACACAUUAGAGAAUAUUAAAGCCUCUGCCUGGAAGAAUGAGUGCAGAGGAAAGAGGAAGCUGGACAAGGGAAGAAAGCAUUGGAGCCUGGGCCCUUCCAGAGGAAACAGAGUCAUCCUAGUAGGAGAUUGUAAUGGAAUGCUUCAGCUUGUCAGAGGUUUCCAGGAAUCUUCUGCACAAGGAACAGGAGAACCAGUGGAUAGUAUAGACCCUCAGUGAGUAAUGAGAGAAGGUUAUGUUUUACUUUGCAAUUUUUUCCAGAGCCUUUAUCUUGAGUAGCUUCCAUGUGAUUAGCAGUGUAGCAAGUGGUUCAGCAUUUGGUGGAGAAGUAUUAAAAAAAAAAUGAAGCCAGAGGCUGGCUGUGGUGCCUCACACCUGUAAUCCUAGCACUUUGGGAGGCUGAGGCAGGCACAUCGCUUGAGCUCAGAAGUUCGAGACCAGCCUGGGAAACAGUGAGACCCCAUCUCUAGAAAAAUACAAAAAUUAGCCAGGUGUGCUGGUGCAUGCCUGUAGUUCCAGCUGCUCGGGAGGAUGAGGUGGGAACAUCAUUUGAGCCCAAGAGGUUGAGGCUGCAGUGAGCCGAAAUUGUGCCACUGUACUCUAGCCUGCAUCGAUAAAGUGAGACCCUGUCUCAAAAAAAAAAAAAAAAAUUGGAGCCAGAAUAUGUGGGUUUAAGAUCUAGCUCUGCCACUUUUUAGCUGUGUGACCUUCACCAUGCUAUUACAUGUCUCUGAGUGUCAAUUUUCUCAUUUGUAAUAAUUGGAAUAUCGUCUAUCUCAUAACUCCUACUUCAGAUGGUUGCUCAGAUACAUUUCAAAUAAAAUGAAACAAUCAUUAUUUCUCAAUCUUUCCUAAUAAUAAGAAUUGCCUGGGGUUUCUGUCAAACAUGAAGAUUAUAAAGUAUUUACCCUGAGGAAGUCCGAUUUAGCCGAUUCUGUUUGAUGAGCAGAAUUUAUGCUUUUAACAAUAACCAAGAUUUUUUUUUUUUCUUCAGGCAAGUGUAGAGGACAGUGAAAUGAUAGUGCUAUGUUAUGGUAAUGGUAAUGGCAGUGGUAAUGUUAGUUAAUAUUGUGAGAAC